rnacentral:rRNA from 1 species
AUACAGAGGGUGCGAGCGUUAAUCGGAAUUACUGGGCGUAAAGCGCGCGUAGGCGGCUUAUUAAGUCAGAUGUGAAAUCCCCGGGCUCAACCUGGGAACUGCAUCUGAUACUGGUAAGCUAGAGUUUUGGAGAGGGAAGUAGAACUUCAGGUGUAGCGGUGAAAUGCAUAGAGAUCUGAAGGAAUACCAGUGGCGAAGGCGACUUCCUGGCCAAAAACUGACGCUGAGGUGCGAAAGCGUGGGUAGCAAACGGGAUUAGAAACCCUAGUAGUCC